GUAAAGCCUACAAUUUUGCUUAGCAUUCCCAAUUUUAUUUUAUUAUUAUUAUUAUUUUUUUUUUUUUUUUUUUAAUGGUUCUGUCUUAUAUGACAUAUUGAAAGGGAAAGGAAGUUAAUGAGCUAUCUUGAUCUAUGCCUCUUUGGCAAGAUUUCUUAGAGACAAGAUUACAAGUCAAUUCAGGAACAUAUAGGCAGAGUUCAAGAAAAUAGUCAAUCAAAGAAUCAUUAUUUACCAACAACACAGCCAUUGCCAUCUGUUUCGGUAACCUUUUUAUUUCAAGCACAAGGUCUAUAUCUUGAGAAGAAAUUGGAAGAUCUAGACCAUAUGGUUAGAAGCGCCUGGAUCAAUGGUUCAACUAGAAAUAUCAUAUGACUGAACGUAGGACCAAGUGGCAAUAGGGUUUUCUAGUUGAUUGAACAAAGCCUUCAACAGAAACCCAACAUAGCAGUGUUGAAGGUCUAUGAAGAUUGAAAAUAAUGGCAAUGAAGACCUAAAUCGUUAAACAACUAUCACACUUAGAAAAUCCUAAACAACUCUUAUACCAUGUGAUGAAAUCUAAUUUCGUUGGUACUAUCUUAUUAAUAAUUGAGAUUUCUUUGAUACUGAAAAAUCAAUUGUAGAAACUACCCGUUAUGUCUGAGCAGGUUUAGGCUCAAUGACAUCCUCUACCCACUUUUUCUAGGCACAAUUAUAAUUUCAAUGACAACUUAAGUGUUCGCAUUACUGCAAUUAAGGGUAGGAUACAUACAAGAAAGCUGCAAAAUUAAUUCAAAAACGUAGAAAAUUGAAAUUCCUAAGAUUAGCCAGUGCUAAUUUUUUAUCUAGAAUCGGGAGCAUAUUCUUCUAUUUUCUACAUUCCCUCUGUGCUGUCGAUACUGUUUUAUCUUCAAAUACUUAACUUUGUAGUUGUUGGUGGACCGGAUGAGGUCUUAUGGCCGUUAUAUUGCUUUGCAUUUACGGUUUGAAAAGGACAUGCUUGCCUUCAGUGGGUGCACUCAUAAUUUAUCUCUGGAAGAAGCUGAGGAACUAAAGUCAAUAAGGUAGGAUAUUUUGUACAGAUAUUCUAU
rnacentral:lncRNA from 1 species